ensembl:lncRNA
AGAAAACGAAAGGCUGGUAAGGGAAUGACUGUUUAUUGCUGCUAUAGCGUAAGUGAUAACAGGAACUAGCUUGUUUUUACGCGUUUCGCGACAUUAAAUGUAACUAAAAAUGGAUAAAACGUAUGUGACAUUUCUUUUUUAUAAAUACAAAUUGUUAUUGUUGGCAGAUUGCUGUGGUGUAGCAGGAAUAAAACGAUUGACGGGACAUGCUUUUAGCGGAAAAAUAAUUCGUUUCGGGGAGGUAACAGUCGUCUGUCGUCACUUGUUUAUUUCCUUAAAACAGCAUGACAGCAAAUGUUUAAAUAAGUCCACUGAGAUCGAGUUUCCAUCGCUGUCAGGCCAAGUGUACGGGUCUUUAAUAGAGCAGAACCUGUUAAUAAAAAUAAUAUAUUACAAAAGGCUUCAUGAAAAGAAGAAAGGUUUAAUUAAGUUGAAUUGAAACCAUGCUUACAAAUCAGUUAUCAUGAAAAAUGCAGUUCUUUAAGAUGUCGUUCAAGCAGAUAGGGAUAACUUGAGCACAUCUACAACUAGAUGUUCAGUAGCACAUUUCCAGCUUACAACAGUUGCUUAACAUUUGAUCAGUUUAAUUUUGCACGUAUACUGAAUGGUAUAUUCGACUGAUCAGAAGGUCAUGAGUUCAAAUCCCACCAUGUUGCCACUGCUGGGCCCUUGAGCAAGGCCCUUAACCCUCAACUGCUCAGUUGUAUAAAAAUGAGAUAAAUGAAAGUCGCUCUGGAUAAGUGCGUCUGCAAAAUGUCAUUAAAUGUAAAAACACAAACUUUUUUAAACACUUUCCUGGAACACAGGUCUGGUGAACAGAAUCACCACCAUUACCAAAUGUGUUCAAAAUAAUAACCAAAGGUUUUAUCUCUGAAACACAAACACUGUCCCAAAAUGCUGCGUAUGUAGAGUCUCCUCCCAAAUGGAAAGCUUACGAUAUAGGACUGUACCUGAUUAUGAGCACGUGACUAGUCACGAGGGAAUAUUUCGAUACGAUAAGGAAGCGGCGUAAUAUGUGUGAGUACACGGAUGCUGAAGUCCUAUCUGUAAUACGAAUACGUUCUUGGUACAACUUGAUUAAAAUACAAUUCAAUACUCGAUGAAUGAACGAACGCUUAAUUAUAGUGAUGAAAAAGUUAAGAUGCAAACCCAACAAAGAUGGAGUUCAAAAACAAUUCUGGUCUUGUCUCAUUUCUGAAAGAACAUCACACACACACAUUAAACACAAGACUAUUACAUAUGUGCAAAUAAAAGAUUUUGCAUAAGUGUGCACACCCUUUUAUAAUUAGGGGCGUGGCUGUGUUCCGAAUGAACCAAUCACUUUCAAGCUCAUGUUCAAAAGUAAUUAUUAUACAGCUCUUAUCAGUGAAAUUAUUCUGAUUAACCCUAAAUAGACCAGCUGUUUCUGUAGAAGAAAGAGUGGGAAAAUAUUGAAAGUCAAGAUGAUGGACGCUCUUACCCCAAAUGACUGAGUGGUGUAAUAACAUCAAAAGCUGCUUCAACAAAGUAUUAGUUUAGGGGUGUGCACACUUAUGCAGCU